UAAGGAAUAUUGCUCAAUGGGAGAAAUCCUGAAGCAGCAACGCCGCGUGGAGGAUGAAGGGCUUUCAGCUUGUAAACUCCUGUAAAGAAGGAAAAAAUUCCCAUUAGAUGGGAAAUGAUGGUACUUCUAAAGUAAGCCCCGGCUAACUACGUGCCAGCAGCCGCGGUAAUACGUAGGGGGCAAGCGUUGUCCGGAUUUACUGGGUGUAAAGGGUGCUCAGGCGGAUUUGUAAGUCAGAGGUGAAAUCUCACAGCUUAACUGUGAAACUGCCUUUGAUACUGCAAGUCUAGAGUAUGGAAGAGAGUGAUGGAAUGUCUGGUGUAGCAGUGAAAUCCGUAGAUAUUAGGAGGAACACCGGUGGCGAAGGCGGCUACCUGGACCGAUAUUGACGCUGAGACGCGAAAGCGUGGGGAGCAAACA
rnacentral:rRNA from 1 species